AUUGAACGCUGGCGGCAUGCUUUACACAUGCAAGUCGAACGGUAACAGGCCACAAGGUGCUGACGAGUGGCGAACGGGUGAGUAAUGCAUCGGAACGUGCCCAGUCGUGGGGGAUAACGCAGCGAAAGCUGCGCUAAUACCGCAUACGAUCUAUGGAUGAAAGCGGGGGACCGUAAGGCCUCGCGCGAUUGGAGCGGCCGAUGUCAGAUUAGGUAGUUGGUGGGGUAAAGGCCCACCAAGCCAACGAUCUGUAGCUGGUCUGAGAGGACGACCAGCCACACUGGGACUGAGACACGGCCCAGACUCCUACGGGAGGCAGCAGUGGGGAAUUUUGGACAAUGGGCGCAAGCCUGAUCCAGCAAUGCCGCGUGCAGGAAGAAGGCCUUCGGGUUGUAAACUGCUUUUGUACGGAACGAAACGGUUCGGGUUAAUACCCUGGGCUAAUGACGGUACCGUAAGAAUAAGCACCGGCUAACUACGUGCCAGCAGCCGCCGUAAUAC
rnacentral:rRNA from 1 species